GAUGAACGCUAGCGACAGGCCUAACACAUGCAAGUCGAGGGGCAGCACGAAGUAAGCUUGCUUACUUUGGUGGCGACCGGCGCACGGGUGCGUAACAGGUGUGCAAUCUGUCCAUAAUCGGGGAAUAGCCCAGCGAAAGUUGGAUUAAUGCUCCAUGUGAGUAAGAGAGGCAUCUCUUUUAUUUGAAACGCAAGGAUUAUGGGUGAGCACGCUUCUGAUUAGGUAGUUGGUGAGGUAACGGCUCACCAAGCCGACGAUGAGUAGGGGUUCUGAGAGGAAGGUCCCGCACAUUGGAACUGAGACACGGUCCAAACUCCUACGGGAGGCAGCAGUGAGGAAUAUUGGUCAAUGGGCGGAAGCCUGAACCAGCCAAGUCGCGUGAAGGAUGAAGGUUCUAUGGAUUGUAAACUUCUUUUGUCUGAGGGUAAAAAAGCGGACGUGUCCGUUCUUGCAAGUAUCAGACGAAUAAGCAUCGGCUAACUCCGUGCCAGCAGCCGCCGUAACAC
rnacentral:rRNA from 1 species